GAAUAUAUAUAAAAUUUUACUUUUAAGCAAACACAAUAUUACUUGUUACAACCCUAGCUAAGCUAGAAUACUCAUAAGUAUUCUUUUUGAAAGAGCUAGGUCCAUUCUAAUUUUGAUUUGGGUUUCAUUUUUUUUUUUUUUUGGGGUAAAAGCUUUGGGUUUCUUAAACCUAGCUAUAGGCUACACUAAACUGCAUCUUAUCUUUAGCUAAUAGUACUUAUAAAUUUAAGUUCAUUAACUCGUACUAGUAUAUUCCAAACCUAACAAUAUUUAGUUUUCUGAUGAACGAUCUAGUUUUUUUU
rnacentral:lncRNA from 1 species